GACGAACGCUGGCGGCGUGCCUAAUACAUGCAAGUAGGACGCAGUUGCGAACGGGAGAGUAACGCGUAGGUGACUACCUAUUAGAGGGGGAUAACUAUUGGAAACGAUAGCUAAUACCGCAUACUAGUAGAUGGACCUGCGUUGUAUUAGCUAGUAGGUAGGGUAAAGGCCUAACUAGGCAACGGUACAUAGCCGAGCUGGGAGGGUGAUCGGCCCCACUGGGAAUGGGAAACGGGCCCGAAUCCUAAGGGGAGCAGCAGUUGGGAAUCAUCGGACAUGGGGGGAACCCUGACCGAGCAAAGGCGCGUGAGUGAAGAAGGGUUUCGGAUCGUAAAGCUCUGUUGUUAAGGAAGCGGUACUUAAACAGAAAGCGACGGCUAACUCCGUGCCAGCCGCCGCGGUAAUAC
rnacentral:rRNA from 1 species